rnacentral:rRNA from 1 species
UAGGGAAUCUUCCGCAAUGGACGCAAGUCUGACGGAGCAACGCCGCGUGAGUGAAGAAGGUCUUCGGAUCGUAAAGCUCUGUUGUUAGAGAAGAACAGCGCAUAGAGUAACUGUUAUGCGUGUGACGGUAUCUAACCAGAAAGCCACGGCUAACUACGUGCCAGCAGCCGCGGUAAUACGUAGGUGGCGAGCGUUGUCCGGAUUUAUUGGGCGUAAAGGGAGUGUAGGCGGUCUUUUAAGUCUGAUGUGAAAGCCCACGGCUCAACCGUGGAGGGUCAUUGGAAACUGGGAGACUCGAGUGCAGAAGAGGAGAGCGGAAUUCCAUGUGUAGCGGUGAAAUGCGUAGAUAUAUGGAGGAACACCAGUGGCGAAGGCGGCUCUCUGGUCUGUAACUGACGCUGAGGCUCGAAAGCGUGGGGAGCAAACAGGAUUAGAUACCCUGGUAGUCCACGCCGUAAACGAUGAGUGCUAAGUGUUGGAGGGGUUCCACCCUUCAGUGCUGGAGUUAACGCAAUAAGCACUCCGCCUGGGGAGUACGGCCGCAAGGCUG